GGGUGCUAUCAUUCCAGCACUAAUGCACCGGAUCUCAUCAUAACUCCGCAGUUAAGCGUGCUUAAUCGAGAGUAGUACUAGGAUGGGUGACCUCUUGGGAAGUACUCGUGUUGCACCCC
rnacentral:rRNA from 1 species